CUCAAAGGGUUCUAGUCUUCGUACAUAUCCAGUCACUACCUCAGCAGCUCUCCAUUCUCCCUGCUCUCCACUAUCUCCCCAGCGCUGGCUGCAUGAUUUCACCUGGAGCCUAGGUGAUUCUUGCUGAAACAAAGUAGUAACAGAAAAGGAUCCUGAUGUCAUGAUGUGGGAUCCAAACUCUUCCCAUUGGAACAAAACCAUACCUCUUCAGCCUCGGUUACUUGGUUUUGAGUAAUCUACUCUGCUUGGCACGCGCUGGCUCUGGGGCUAUUCCACCUUCCUCAAGUGCCCCUCCUUACAGCGAGUCGCUUGCUACGCCCGUGGUCCACUUCCUAUACAUUGACCUGGGAAAUGGCCAGCAGCUCCAUGUAGCUACUGACAACCUGAAAUGCGGCCAAAGCUCAAGCAGUCACAAGCACAACACUCCUGGUCACAGCUUGAGCCACUUCCCCUGGCUUCUGCUGCCUCCUCUCCUAUUCCCGUUGGAUCCUGGCAGGGCCACAGAAGGCUGACAUUGAAGUAGGAUGAACCUGGCCUGAAAGUCUCUGCUGUAAACUUUCCAGUACCAUCAUUCUGACUCAGCAGCUGCUGCCUUGCCCUGAAUCCUUCCUUCCCCACCGUUUUCCUCAGCAGCUGACACCAGAGUCUGAAGGAUGAGCUGAUUAGUUGCUCCAGGAGCCGCGUCGUAGACAGACAAAAGCCACGUGGGCCAUUUCUCAGCACCCCUGGAUGAGGCUUUAUGGCUAUGUGACAAAUGCAGCCGGCUGACGUAUUCCAUCCCGGCAUUUUUUAGUGAGGCAAAGGCCAACUUAGCAGGCUGUGACAUGUGACAAUACCUGAAAACUGAGCCUGCCAGCCAGCCACGGGAGAGUAGUUGCCAGAAGCGGCGGGUCGGAGCCUGCUAACCCAGUGUUCCAUGGGAAAGCAGCUACCAUGAGACCCGGAGCAGAUUCGAAUUUCCUUGGGGAAGCAGAACCGGUGUUUAAAGGAUUCUUGUUUCAGUCCAGAAAACAAGAACCUCCCAUCUUUCAAACUGACAAGAGAAGCAGGCAUGGUGGCAGACACCUAUAAUCCCACUAUACCCUCGGUGGCUGAGCGCUGCCACGAACAUAGGUGUCCAAGUUUUCAACUGAGCAGUGUUCUCAGUUCUCCAGGAUACAUACCUAGGAGUGGGACUGCCGGGUCACGUGACAGUUCUCCAUUUAACUUCUGAAGAACCAACCACUCAACAGACUCACUCUCAUGCUUACGAUUUACGAAGUGUCUUGAUCACCAGUUAAGAGCAGCAGUCAAACUCCAGGCAGCCCUUUAAAGGUUUCUUUCCAGAAACCCUGAUUAGAGCAGCCAGGCUCAACCCAAGUCAAAUUUCUUCCAAGGUAAGGUUCCACUCAGGACUUUGAACAGCCUCUCUGCUGUACUACGUGUCUCAACAAGAACUGGCCAGGCAGGAAUCCCUUCCUGCCUCCUAGGCAUCCUUGCUUUUCCAUUAUGUGCUGCACACCUCAGGAAAAUGAAGGUAGUUAAUCUAACGCAUGUAUUUCCCUCCUCUGUUUUUGCUAAAGAGCUCAUCUUAGAACCUGGCAGCAACUCAGGGGCUUUGUACUACCUGCUUGUCCUGGGUGGAACGCUAUUUUCUUCCUGGCUCUAGAACAGGGCGUUCCUAACAGCGGUCAAGGCUAUAUGGAGACCAUCCUUUCACUCCCAGCAGGCUUUUGUUGCAGAUUAGGCCUGACCCUACAUCCAGGGAUGCUGGCUGUGAGCUGAGCCCACUUUGCAGAUGGGCUACUCGGUGGGCUCAGGUCCACUCUAUAGUUUUGGUGGGUGUAAUGGGAAAUAAUUCCACUACAGGCCAGUGUAGCGAGUCAUGGGCUUUCUCUGUCAC